CUCCCGCGUUGGUCCCCAGGAAACCCCGCCUCGCCUGCAGGCAGCGCGGCACCCUCGGCCGGGUAUGAAAUGCCCGCUUCGCGUCUCCCGGCCAAUCCCAAGUCGUCCUUCAAGACGUCCCUGCUCCGGAAAGCUGUCGCCGUAAAACUGCCCCGCCCCGUCCCUCCCGGCAUGGCCAUCCCCUUGGCGCUGGCCAGUGGGAGCGAUGCGGACCAGGGCCGCUCCCCAGUCUCGAGCGGCACUCCCCCUCCUCCAGCCCGCCCCUGCCCGGGAAGAUGCCUGCGUGAAACCAGAAGUGAUUCACGCUGCGCCACGUGAUGGCCCCGCAUCAGCGACCUGAAAGCGGAUGCUGAAUUUCGGUCAAUGCUGGUCCGUGUGCUUUACAUGCGUUACCUCAUUUUAUCCCCAAAACAACCCUGUGGGUUCCUCUAUUGGAUACCUUGACAGUGGAAACCUUUAUUUCUUCUUGGGGAGACUCUCCACAGUACCUCUUGACUUUUUUAUGCUGUGAAAGGAGGAUGCCAAAAUCCCACUUUCCGGGCCAUGUCCCCUACCAGGAAUAUGGUUGUACACCGGGCACCCGAGACUCAUGGGAGCAUAUGCACCAAGGCUCAAUCCUAACAACCUUCCACCUUAACUGUGAUCAAAAUGGGGUGGAGGAUUUCUCCACACUGAGCCCCAUAGCCCAGCAUCCCUGUGGACAGCACCUAGCUUUGGAGACAGCCAGAUCUGCCUAAGGAUCUUGGCUCUCUGCCACUUAGCAGCAAUAAGACCUGAAGAUUAAGUCAGCUCUCUAACCUCUCAGCCUUCUUUCCUGAUCUAGAAAAUGGGGAUGAUGAUUCCUACUUGAAACAGUUGCUGAGAAGAUGACAUGAGAAAAUAUUGUCAAAGAUUUUAACACAGUGGAAACCAUCACAAAUGAUCUCAAAGCAUCUGAAAUUCAUAUAUAGUUUUUUUUCUGAUUAUAAGUUAUUUGGAAAAUAUAGAAAAAUAUAAAGAAGGAAAUGAAAAUAGAUUCGAAUAUCACUGUUCAGAAAUAAACACUGUUAACAAUUUGUUGUAUUGCUUUCCAGUCUUUACACUAUAUGUUGUUGUUUUAUAUGCAUUAUGGUUGUGAGGCAACUGUACUGUAAUGGUUAAACCUGUGGGCUGUGGAAUCCUGGUCCUAGCAUCUACUUUAUGUGUACUAUCUCAUUUACCCCUGAAGACAACCAUUUAAGGCAAGUGCUGUUGCUACUCUCAGCUUCACGGAUGAGGAAGCUAAAGCAGCUAAAGUUUGGGUGAUUUUCCCCAAGUUUCUAACUGGAAAAUUGCAGAUAGUGGACUUGAACUCAGGUCUGAGUGACUCUACUGCCUCUGGUACUCUGCCCUCACACUAGCUUGUUGGUCACCUAAGCACUACAUCAUCUGAAGUCAAUAAAGCGGGAAAUGUUGUCAUACCCAUUUUACAGAUGAAGAAAUUGAGGUACAAAAAAGGUUAACAGACUUACCCAAGAUUAUAGAGUCAGGAUGAAGCCCCUGAGAAUGGAUUCCCCAGGGGCUUUGCAAAUGAAGAUAUCUUUACCAAACCACAGCUAACAUAUUUGUCACUGUCCUUUAAUGGUUCUGUUUCAUCUGUUUCUUAGCUCUUCAACAUGACCAGACUGCCUCUUCCCUCCCGCCUCCCUCUGCCUCCCCCUGCCUCCCCCAUGGAGUAGCAAGGCUCCAGGAACGGGCAAAAGAGAACUCAGAUGGGCUACUCCCGCUCUCCUUCCUCCUGCCCUGGCCCUCAUAGUUUGGCAAGGUCAGGCUUCCUGCUGACCUGAGAUUGCAGUUGCAAGAGGGCAGUGAGGCCAGGAAGGGCUCCCCUGCAGGUCACUUGGCCCUAGGAGAAAGGGCGGGCUCUGCUAGCUGUCUGCAGUUGAGAAAAGAGCAGAAACUCUGAAGACACUGAGGUCUUGGUUACCUAGAGGUGUUUUCUCCUCUGGAAGAUGAGACCACCCAUCCCCACCCACUGCAGUUUGAUGUGAGGGUUACAGAGAGGACCCUCCUACUUCCUCUUCCUCCCCAGGGCUGGAUGUGUUCACCGCCUCCCUGGGCCUCUCUAGUCCGUUAGGGACAGUUCUUGCUUUGAAAGAGUGGUCCUUUGUGUAAUUUCCACUCAUUGCUUCCCUCUGCAACAUCAUAACCCUUCCAGACAGGCACUUCAAAUAUAUUUGCCUGACUCUUCAAGCUAUGUUUCCUCCUGUGCUUCGCCCUCCCUCCCACAUCUGUUUUCUAGGCCCUUCACUGUAAUAGAGUCACACAGCCCGGGUUCAAAUCCUCGUGCCACGACUUACUAGCAGUAUGAGAUUGGGCAAAUUACUGAACCCCAGAGUCUCAGUUUCCACGUUAUAAAAUGGGCCUAAUAAUGGGAAAUCACUUCAUAAUGUUAGCAUGAGAGCUAUCUCAACAUACUGUAAGCAGUGAUGAGUAAUAUCAUCUUAGAAAUCUUUGCUCAAAGCAAAAGGUUGUACCUCCUUAUUGUUUGAUUUGCAUUUCUUCGAUUGCUAAUGAGAUUGAACAUUUUUUCAGUUAUUAGUCAUUUAUAUUUCCUCUUUUAGUGAGUUGUCUAUUUUCUGAAUUGUCUAUUUUCUAUGCCCAUUUUCUUUGAAACCUUAACUUAUUCACUUAUAUUAACCCUUUCUAUGUUAAUAAUAACACUUUGUCUUUUAUAUUUAUUGCAAAUAUGUUUUGACAUAAGUUAAGUAGUCAAGUCGUUGAAUUUCUUCCAUUGUUUCAAGCUUAGGUUCUUCCACACUCACAG